rnacentral:rRNA from 1 species
AUUGAACGCUGGCGGCAGGCCUAACACAUGCAAGUCGAACGAGUGGCGGACGGGUGAGUGAUGUCUGGGAAACUGCGUGAUGUAGGGGGAUAACUCCUGGAAACGGUAGCUAAUACCGCAUACCAUCAGAUGUGCCCAGAUGGGAUUAGCUUGUGGGUGGGGUAACGGCUCACCAAGGCGACGAGCCCUAGCUGGUCUGAGAGGAUGAGCAGCCACACUGGAACUGAGACACGGUCCAGACUCCUACGGGAGGCAGCAGUGGGGAAUAUUGCACAAUGGGCGCAAGCCUGAUGCAGCCAUGCCGCGUGUAUGAAGAAGGCCUUCGGGUUGUAAAGUACUUUCAGCGAGGAGGCGUUACCCGCAGAAGAAGCACCGGCUAACUCCGUGCCAGCCGCCGCGGUAAUAC